GAUGAAGAACGUAGCGAAAUGCGAUAACUAAUGUGAAUUGCAGAAUUCAGUGAAUCAUCGAAUCUUUGAACGCACAUUGCGCCCGCCAGUAUUCUGGCGGGCAUGCCUGUUCGAGCGUCAUUUCAACCCUCAAGCCCCAGCGGCCUGGUGUUGGGGACCGGCGACCUCGCCCGAGCCCGCCCUCCGGGGCGCGUGCCCGGUGCGUCCGCCGCCCCCGAAAUGAAUUGGCGGCCUCGUCGCGGCCUCCUCUGCGUAGUAGCACAACCUCGCAAGCGGGAGCGCGACGCGGCCACUGCCGUAAAACGCCCAACUUUUUUAGAGUUGACCUCGGAUCAGGUAGGAAUACCCGCUGAACUUAAGCAUAUCAAUAAGCGGAGGA
rnacentral:misc_RNA from 1 species